AAAAAAAAAAAAAAAAACUAAACCUAAAGCAAACAGCCACACACACGCCGCACACACAAAUCACAAUUCCCAUUUUCACAAUACACGGUUACUUUACACAAACACUCACAACUCUCCUCAAUCCCCAAUCUCAUUACACAAUCCCCAAUCUCACUACACAAAACACAUACACAGUCACCCCCAACGGCGUUGGGCCAACGCCAAGCCGCCAACGGAGGCCGCCGCACAAGUCACAACCUCACCCGCAUCUCCAUGGCCGAUUUGCCGCGCGUCUCCAUGCCUGAUUUGCUGCAAGUGCCGCCGAUCUGCUGCUACGCGUCCGUCGGUCUCUUGCUACGCGUCCGUCGGUCUCCUGCUACAAGUGCCGCGGCCACCGAUCUACUGCAAGUGCCGCGGAUCUGCUGCAAGGUGCUU
rnacentral:lncRNA from 1 species